UUAUUAAAUAAAGUAUUAUUAAACAAUAAUAUAAUUGGGAUACCUAAAUCAUAAAGCAAGCAGGUGUUAGUUUAGACUCUAUGAAAAAGUACUACAUAAAAAAUCAAGGUGGUCAUCACUAAACAACGAUUUUAUAUAAAUGGAGUGGUAUAAAAUUUUUAUAUAGUUAUUCAAAUAAUAAAAUAAUUAAUGAUAUUUUAUAACAACUGUAUUUUUCAUAUCAAUAGAAAUAGUAACAAUAAUAACAGGAGCAUAUAAAACUAUAAAGGCGUUUGAUAAUAAACAUAAGACUGAUAUGAACAGUGUAUUAAAAGAUCGAUCCAGAAGGUGAAUAAAAACGUCUUAUCAAAUAUCAUUCAAUAAUAUUUUGAUAGACGUAUGUUUUAUUGCUACUAUUACCUUUGAUGUUCCGAUGACAUAAAAUUGCUAAAACUCAUCGUCACCCCAUUAGUCUACAACAGAAACUCUUUCAAGACGUAGAUAAGGAAAAACAAAAAAUGAAAAUCGUCCUGUUGGCGCUAUUCGUGGCGGCUGUGGCUGCGUUCCCGGCUGAGAAGUCCAAGGAGUUGGAGCCAUCGCCUAUCGCUAUCCCCGAGCUAAUCUUGCCUGAAAUUAUUGAAGAACUGCCCAAACCUGAAGCCCAAUUCGGAGAGAUUUCAACGAUGGAAACGUCCAGGUGGCGGUUAAUACUCCCGAAGACCCCGGAAUGCUGGCUACCCUGCAAUCUUGGUUAAACAUGGUGAUCAACUACAUCAGCAACGGUGGUCAAACCUCUGAACAAAUUGUCUAAACGAAUUUUUUUAUGUGUAUUUGUAU